UACGGAGGAUGCGAGCGUUAUCCGGAUUUAUUGGGUUUAAAGGGUGCGUAGGCGGAUCGUUAAGUCAGUGGUCAAAUUGAGGGGCUUAACCCCUUCCCGCCAUUGAAACUGGCGAUCUUGAGUGGAAGAGAAGUAUGCGGAAUGCGUGGUGUAGCGGUGAAAUGCAUAGAUAUCACGCAGAACCCCGAUUGCGAAGGCAGCAUGCCGGCUUCCUACUGACGCUGAAGCACGAAAGCGUGGGGAUCGAACAGG
rnacentral:rRNA from 1 species